rnacentral:lncRNA from 1 species
AGGAUGUGCCCAGAGGGCGCCCUUCCUUUAGAGGCCUCGUUUGCCCGACACUUACGACAGGCCUUAGGGCGUAAGGCGUGGACGUGCGUGACGUCACCCUCGGGCCGGCGAGCUGGGGAGGGCGAGGAUCCUGGCCGCAGCUCCCUCGGGAUCCGGGUGUGGCUAGGCUCAGGUAACGCCCGGCCCUGAGGACUCCUUCGGCCUCCGCCCACCGGGAGUGCUGAGACCGCCGGCCGGUGUGCUGGCGACCUUUACCCAGGCUCGGUCAAGGCUUCCUGGCUGGCGCAACUGCAGCGGCCUCGCAGUGGACGCCUGCUGGUGACCUUUACUCUGUUAAACCAUCUCCUUCCAGCUCUCCCAGUGAGAGCCCCAGAGCUGGGGAAGUGAAUGGAUGACCUGGGAGAUGUCUGACUCAACUUAGAAUUUCCAAAGCGUGCACACUAUGGCUAAGUUUCAGACUGAAAAGCCAGAAAAAGCAGGUUGAAGUUACAAGAAAGAAAAAGUCUUUUUAGAAACACCACAAAGAAAAUGAUCAACAAUCAGGGACAGUCAAAAGUAGAAUGUAUUGCCUGUGUGGAAGGUUUUUGUUUUAUGAGUGCAUAUAUGCAUGACUGUAUGUAUGGUACACGUGUGUGCAGUUGCCCUAGGAGGCCAGGAGAGGGCACUGUAUCUUCAGGAACUGGAAUUACUGGCGGUUGCAAGCUUCCACAUUAAUAUAGAAUAUGGGAGCCAGACUCACAUCUUGAGAACCAAACUAGCGUCCUUAGAAAGAACAGCAAGUGCUCUUAACAGAUGAAGUAUCUUUCCAGCCCUACUUUGGAAGUGUUUAAACUGAGAUAAGGUGGCUUUCUGUCUAAUUCCCUAAGAAUAAAGAAAAAAGUUUGUAUGUGUGUUUCUACACAGAUUGUGAAGCCAGAAGUUGACAUUAAACAUCUUCCUUGGUC